CAGUAGCCACGGGAAUACGUAGGUGGCAAGCGUUGUCCGGAAUUAUUGGGCGUAAAGGGCGCGUAGGCGGGCUGAUAAGUCAGGGGUGAAAUCCCAAGGCUCAACCUUGGAACUGCCUUUGAUACUGUUUGUCUUGAGUUCGAGAGAGGUAAGUGGAACUGCGAGUGUAGAGGUGAAAUUCGUAGAUAUUCGCAAGAACACCAGUGGCGAAGGCGGCUUACUGGCUCGAAACUGACGCUGAGGCGCGAAAGCGUGGGGAGCAAACAGGAUUAGAUACCCGGGUAGUCCCUGUCUCUUAUAA
rnacentral:rRNA from 1 species